GGAGACUAUGAGAUACAGGCCAGCACAUUAGUGACGGUUUUCUCUGGACACUGUGAUGACAGAAACCCAGGAAAAGAAGACGGUGUUCAUGCAUGUGUCUCUCCGUGCAGCCCUAAGGUCACUGUUUGGAAGCGGCCAUGGACCUUACCCACAUCCAGGAAACAUGAAAUUCAGCAGGUUGGCUCAGAGCUGUUCUUUCUCCUACGAGAUGUGAAUGGUAACCGUACACUGUAUUGCGAGUUGUUGCAAGUCACUUUACGGCCACUAGAGGGCACCAGACUUGGAAUAAAGAUCACCUGUUAGAAGGAACAGUGAAGAAAAAAAUGUAAGGAGGUGGAGCUGAAUGGAGGAAUCCCACUGAAGAGAAGGCUAUUCACAUACUAAGAGCAAGUGGCAAACAGUAACUGAGUUUCGGAUUAGACAGAUUAUCAUCACAGAAGAUAUAUGAAAGUCACAUAGGAAUGGACAUAAUCUUUAUAAGUUCUAAAACCCAGGCCUGCUGGAACGCUGGUAACAAUAUUCGGCAAUGAAUAACUGUAAUGUAUAAUUACAUUUAUAACUCAGCUAAGUGAGUGUGAGUUUAUAGGCUCUUAUAUGACUAUGAUACAUAUUUCCAUGGGACAAGUAUGUAAGGAGAACCUUGUGACUUAGUGCCAGAGCCCAGCAGAGUCCUGGCUCAGCAAAUGGUUCAA